GCCACCUUAGCUCAGUUGAUAGAGCAUCCGAUUCGUAAUCGGAAGGUCUCGAGUUUGAGUCUCGAAGGUGGCUCCA
rnacentral:tRNA from 2 species